UACUUUAAGAGGAUGAACAAAUUUGCUAUUUUCAUUCAAACAAGAUGAUCACAAAACAAACUCAUGCAUUUACGUGUUUCCUUUUGGAACAUCGAUUUUACUUUAUGUAUUUGGAACAUCGAUUUUACUUUAUGUUUUAAGUUCAAUUAUAUUUACUUUGGUGUAACUAUCAGUAUCAAUUCUAUUUUUGAUGCAUUGAUCCAUGAAAACCAUUUAUGCUAUUCUUUUUUUUUACUUAAGCAACUACAAAACAAAGUAAUGCAUUACAGUCACUAACUAUUAUCAAAUGGAUAAAAAAGCAAUUUAGAAAUCUUUAGAGAAUAAAACAUACGAGCCCGGCGCGUAGCGCCGGAAUACCACUAGUAUGUUUAUAAAAUAUACUUUGAAUCAUAAAAGUUUUGAUAUAUACUUAGAAAAUUAAUUCAUGAUUGAAUGACUCAGUGUUAUUUUUAAUGAGCAGUGAUAUUAAGCUACUCAAUGGUAAUUAUAACCUGAAAAUAAUGUGUUCAGCAAGAGCAGGUAAGUUUUAAUAUAUUUUGGAAGUCUUUAAGAAAAUAUAAUUGGGUAGAAAAAGAUAGUGUGUGUUUCUGCAUAAAUUUAUGGCAAUGGUGGACCGUAGACGUUAAAUGUAGAGCUAGAGAGAAACGUAAAUACGGGUGUGCAAUAGUUCUUGCCUUCCCCACCCAUCACAACAACAGACAAAAAAAAAGGAAUAGUUAUUCAUCACAAAGCUCUGGCGUUACACAAUGUGACAUUAAAAACUCGAAUCUCUUCAACGGAGAGAGAGAGGUCAUUAGGGUUCAUAACUCACUUGAGGUAGUAAAAAGCAGAAAGGCACAGAGAGAGGAAGAGAGGGCGUAUAGUAGUUGGAAAAAAAAGAGCAGUAAGAACAUUAAUGGUUGCAGGCAGCCAGUGUCCCAUCUUUUCUGCGAGAUUCCCUCAAAAUUUAUUACAUAGCAUCUUCAAUGUUCUUUUAACUUCUUCCUCAAAUCUUCAUACGUUACCACAAUUUUUUUUUUUAAAUAAUUGGUUGUGAAACUCAACGAGGAAAGACAGAGUAGGAGACAAAGUAGUAUUGGUUCACAUUGCAUAGCCAAUUUAGUUUGUAACGAUGGAUACAUAUGUAAUAUGAAACUUGAAAUAAAAAGAGAGAGAAGAGAGAAGAAAAUGGAGUAAAGAGGGUUAAGCCAGCCUUUUGUGCAUUGGUAGUAGAUGUGGUUUUAAUGCUCCAUACCUUCCAUUUCCUUCUCUCUUUAACCCUAAUUUAAUACCUCUCCUUUAUAACUCUCCCCCACAGACAUUCUCACCUUCUCCUCAUCACACUUCCCCUCACAACGUCUAUCUUCUUUUAUUUUCUCAUAUGUCUUCCUUUGAAUCUGCACCACUAGAGAGUCCUCUUUGAUAUUGGCCUGGUUCACUCAGAUCUUCUCGAACCACACCGCGGACAACUCUCUUAGUUAUCUGAUUGAGCCGCGUCAAUAUCUCAGUGCUCUCUCGUCUCUCUUUGUUUCUUGUAGAUCUACCUAUAGCAAUAUAUUGACGUUUUGCUUAUGUAUGUGUUGAAAAUGGAGAUUCAUAUAUCCUUUCUUUAUGGUAUUACUUGCUUAUAAUUUCCAGAUUCUCAGAAAAACAAGUCAAUUUACUAGUCAAAAUGGUAUGUCUCAAUGGAGGUCUAAGCCUUUCUUGCUAUCCAAGGUACCCCAUCAGCUUCUUUCCCAAGUAUAAUAAAUAUCUUCUACUGCUUUGCUUCAUAAUAAUCUACUAGGAUUAGACCCGCGCCUUGCGCGGGGUGAGAUUUUUUAAAAUUUUUUAAAAAUUAGGUUAUAAGAUGAAUAUUACUGAUAUGUGGUGGGGUUUUUAUUAAGAGAUAUAGGAUUUUUGUUUUUUCGUUAUAUAAGUAUUUAUAGAUAUUGGAAGAUUAAAUUGUAUUUACAGUCAAUGAUCUUUCUAUAAAUAUUUUUGUUUAUUACCGAGUAUGUGAUAUAUUUUUAGUAAGACAAAUAAAAUAGCAUACCAUUUUUUUGGUAACUAAUCUUAUUAAAAGAUUUAUAUUUGAUUAUUGUAAAGACUUUAACACAACUUAAUAGAACUUGGAAUUAAAAAAAAUAUUUCUCACAACAUUUAUGUAAAUUAUAUUGUCGUAACAUAUAUAACAUAAUAGAUGAGUUGAAUAAUUAUAAUGGGCCAUAAUAAUAAACAAAUAAAUUGAAAGGCCCGAUUAUAUUUGUUCCUUAAUUAUGAUUGUCCAAUAUUUGAGGGGAAAAGCAAGUCAUUGUCUUAACACAAAUUGCAGAUAUAUUGUUUCCCAAAUUUUUUUAAUUUUUCCCAUAUUUGCCGUUCCCGAAUCGACUGUUUCGUUUAUCACCGUCACAGACGAUUCCAAAGCGAUCUUCUGAUUUAUCUCUCUGUGCAAUACGUAUUCCCGUUCCAAACCUAAUCAAUAACAGCAAUCGAAGGUUACUGGUCUUCCACAGAGUAAACAAUCGAUUCAGAAAAUGAGAAGCUAUAAGAGAAAGAUUGAAGAGGUGGGAACUAAGGGUGUUUUUUCAGACAAUAGGACGUCUACUAAUAAGAUGUCACAAUCACAAAGAGAGGUAGAAGAAACAAGGGCAAAUUUAGGAGUGGAUAUCAUGGGAUUUUAAUGGGAGAGAAUCUGACGAGCACGAACCCUAACCUGCAAGCGAGCAAGAGCAUGCAUACAAUGUAAUGCUAUUCGAGCUUGUCUCCUCACAAGCACUCCUCUCGCCACCGCCUGAAGCUUCACAAGACUCCUCAACGCUCUAAACGCUCUCCUUGCCUACAGCACUUGCAAUGGUAAUUAACUUUUCAAGAACAAUGUUUUGUAAUCACCAGAGAAAAUGUAUAUGUUUUUUACCAGGUGACCUCUGAAAUAAGCUUGGAUUUUAAUGGCGGCAAUGUGUUCUUUAGUAGUUUCUGGGAUAGACGAGCGAAUGGUGGUGAUACUGCUGGGAGAUCGACUGAGAAGUUUCCUCCUUACGACUCCAAACAAUCUUUUGGAGUUGGCCAUAUUGUGAAACCCUUGUCUCUCUGCUUUGGCUAGGAGGUUUUAAAACGGAAACGUGGAGAAGAAAACGUAAAAUGUAAACAAAAGUGAAGGCGGUGGCUUUAAGGGAUGGAGAUGAUGUGCUCUCCAUUUUUGUUUGUUGAUAUGUUAACGAACGAACGUGCUCCCAUGCUCUUCUCUACUUUGUACUUGAUUUUGUUUAUUACUUUUGAAGACAGAAAAGUCUUUGGUC